GAUGAACGCUAGCUACAGGCUUAACACAUGCAAGUCGCGGGGCAGCAUGGGGGUUGCUUGCAAUCCCCGAUGGCGACCGGCGCGCGGGUGAGUAACGCGUAUCCAACCUGCCCUUCACCACGGGAUAACCCGGCGAAAGUCGGACUAAUACCGUAUGUUGUCCAUUGACGGCAUCCGAUUUGGACGAAAGGUUUGGCGGUGAAGCAUGGGGAUGCGUCCGAUUAGCUGGACGGCGGGGUGACGGCCCACCGUGGCGACGAUCGGUAGGGGUUCUGAGAGGAAGGUCCCCCACACUGGAACUGAGACACGGUCCAGACUCCUACGGGAGGCAGCAGUGAGGAAUAUUGGUCAAUGGGCGUAAGCCUGAACCAGCCAAGUAGCGUGCAGGAUGACGGCCCUAUGGGUUGUAAACUGCUUUUAUGCGGGGAUAAAGUGGCCCACGUGCGGGUUUUUGCAGGUACCGCAUGAAUAAGGACCGGCUAAUUCCGUG
rnacentral:rRNA from 1 species